rnacentral:rRNA from 1 species
UUUUUAUAGAAUUCAUUAUAAAUAUGAUCUGCUCCAUGAAAUUUAAAUAGCCGCAGAACUCACUGUGCUAAGGUAGCAUAAUCAUUAGUCUUCUAAUUAAAGACCAGUAUGAAAGAUCUAACACUUAAAUUUCUUUUUUUAUUUACAUAAUUUAAAUUAAAUUAAUAAUAAAAAUGUUAUUAUUCUUAAAAAAGACGACAAGACCCUAUCAAACUUUUACUUAAGUUUAGCUGGGGAAGCUUAUUAAUUAUAAUUUUAAUACCUCAUUAUAAAGAAACCCAAUAAAAAUUGAAUCUCAAUCAAGUUACUGUAGGGAUAACAGCGUAAUAUUUUUCUAAAGCUCAUAUUAAAAAAAAAGAUUACGACCUCGAUGUUGAAUUAAUACUCUUUAAAAAGCAAAAAUUUUAAUAAGAACGGUCUGUUCGACCUGUAAAUAAUUACA